rnacentral:piRNA from 1 species
AACCGAAUUUCUGCAUUUAACUACAAA